rnacentral:misc_RNA from 1 species
UUAAGUUCAGCGGGUAUCCCUACCUGAUCCGAGGUCAACCUUUUAAAAGAUGUUUAACGGCGCGAACCCGUCAAUCUCAUAAGCGAACAUUGUUUGCCACAACGCUAAGAGACGAUGAGCUCAGCCGGAGACAUUAAGGCGCGCGGCAGGCGCGGCGCCCAAUACCAAGCGAGGCUUGAGUGGUGUAAUGACGCUCGAAC